CCCCCUUGGAUCCCCUUCCACACUGUGGGAGGUUUGUUCUUUUGCUCUUUGCAAUAAAGCUUGCUGCUGCUCACUCUUUGGGUCCAGACUGUCUUUAUGAGCUAUAACACUCACCGGGAAGGUCUGCAGCUUCACUCCUGAAGCCAAGGAGACCACGAACCCACCGGGAGGAAGGAACAACUACAGACACGCCGGCUUAAGAGCUGUAGCACUCACUGCGAAGGUCCGCAGCUUCACUCUUGAGCCAGAGACCACGAACCCACCAGAAGGAAGAAACUCCAAACACAUCCGAACAUCAGAAGGAAAAAACUCCAGACACGCCGCCUUUAAGAACUGCAACACUGCGAGGGUCCGCGGCUUCAUUCUUGAAGUCAGUGAGACCAAGAACCCACCAAUUCCAGACACACUACCAAAGGCAGAGGGGAGCUCCUAGACAAAGAUGUCGGCACCAUACCCUUGG
rnacentral:lncRNA from 1 species